rnacentral:ncRNA from 1 species
AUAUUAGUAUAUUAUAUAGUUGUAAUUAAUGUGGAUUAAGUUUAAUUUUUAUUAUAUGCUGUGUUGUAAUUAAUUUGGCUUUGGUUAUUAUAUAAAUUGUUAUUAAAAUUAUAUAUGUUAGAUUUAAUUAAUUCGUUUUAUCUUUAUUAUUAUUAUUUUUGUUGUUUAAUAUAAUAAAAUUGAUAAUAUUUACUAUUAAUAUUUUAUUAGAAUGGUAGGUAGGGAUUACGCAGUAUUUACUAUUAUACAAUGAAUGAGAGUUUGAUAUAGUUAUUAUAAAUUAUAGAUGGAUAAAUUUGUGCCAGCAUUCGCGGUUAUACAUAUGUCUUAAAUUUAUAUAAAUAUAAUAUAAAAAAAAGUGAUAAUUGAUAUAAUUAAUAUAAUUAGAGUAGUUGAGUAUAGUAGUUGUAGGUAAAAUUUAAAAUUAUUAUUAUUAAUCUAAUUUCUCUAAUAUUUAAACUUUGAAAAUAAGGUAAAUUGAAAACUAGGAUUAGAUACCCUAUUAUUCUUUAUUUUAAAUUUUUUUUUUAUUUGAGUAGUGUAAAUAGUGACACACUAACUUAUAUUUGAAACUUAAAAAGCUUGGCGGUGUUAUAUAUCCAUUCAGGGGAGCUUGUUUAUUAAUUUGAUAAUCCCCAAUUAACUCUUACUUUUUUUUGAAUAUAUUUAUUAACAGUUUGUAUAUUGCUGUCAUCAGUUUAUUUCGUAAGAAUUAUUUAAAAAACUUGAAAGUAGAAUUUACUAAUAUGUCAAGUCAAAAUGCAGCUAAUGGAAAAGGUUUAAAAUAAAAAUGAGCUACGAUUUAUAAUUUUUAAUUGGAUUAAAUAAUGUAAUUUUUUUUUAAAAUUGGACUUGAUAGUAAUGUAAACUAGUAGUAUGGUUACAUGAAUAAGGUUUUAUAACGCGUACAUAUCGCCCGUCGCUCUUGUUGGUAAAAUAAGAUAAGUCGUAACAUAGUAGGGGUAGUGGAAACUGUUCCUGGCUAAUAAU